rnacentral:rRNA from 1 species
CGUCUAUAUACGUAUAGCAUAUCAAUAAGCGGAGGAAAAGAAACUAACAAGGAUUCCCUUAGUAACGGCGAGUGAAGCGGGAAGAGCUCAAAUUUGAAAUCUUCAAGGUUCUACCUUGACGAAUUGUAGUUUAAAGAAGUGUUUUUCUGUUAGUGGAGUGGCAAAAGUUCUUUGGAAUAGGACAUCAUAGAGGGUGAGAAUCCCGUAUUUGACCAUUAUUUCCAGCUUUGUGAUACACUUUCAAAGAGUCGGAUUGUUUGGGAAUGCAGUCCUAAAAUGGGUGGUAAAUUUCAUCUAAAGCUAAAUAUUGGCGAGAGACCGAUAGCGAACAAGUACCGUGAGGGAAAGAUGAAAAGAACUUUGAAAAGAGAGUUAAACAGUACGUGAAAUUGUCAAAAGGGAAGCGUUUGACACCAGUGUUGUUUUUCUCGAAAAUCAAUUACAAAAUGGACUUGGAUUUUGUGUUGUAUUGACCUUUAUCAGCUUUCUGCACUUUUUUCUAGUCUUUUCUUAAUGCACUUUUCGUUUAACAAGUCAACAUCAAUUUCUUUUGUUGUAAAAGGGUAUUCGGAAGGUGGCUUUCUUUUCGGAGAAAGUGUUUAUAGCCUUUGGCCUCUGCAAUCGGAGAGAUUGAGGUCUGCAGCGUAGAUCCUUCGGGGUCAGAUACACUUUGUGCUAAGUUAUAGCCUUUUCAUAGACAACUUGUUGACUAUGAUUUAGUCAUGUCGGCUUACUCGCUUAUGCUAUUUUACCUACGCUUAGGAUGUUGACUGAUAUGUAGUCGU